rnacentral:tRNA from 1 species
GAGGGCAUAGCCCAGUGGUAGAGUGUGUGCUUAGCAUGCACAAGGUCUUGGGUUCAGUCCCCAGUACCUCCA